GACGAACGCUGGCGGCGUGCUUAACACAUGCAAGUCGAACGGAAAGGCCCUGCUUUUGUGGGGUGCUCGAGUGGCGAACGGGUGAGUAACACGUGAGUAACCUGCCCUUGACUUUGGGAUAACUUCAGGAAACUGGGGCUAAUACCGGAUAGGAGCUCCUGCUGCAUGGUGGGGGUUGGAAAGUUUCGGCGGUUGGGGAUGGACUCGCGGCUUAUCAGCUUGUUGGUGGGGUAGUGGCUUACCAAGGCUUUGACGGGUAGCCGGCCUGAGAGGGUGACCGGCCACAUUGGGACUGAGAUACGGCCCAGACUCCUACGGGAGGCAGAAGUGGGGAAUAUUGCACAAUGGGCGGAAGCCUGAUGCAGCAACGCCGCGUGCGGGAUGACGGCCUUCGGGUUGUAAACCGCUUUCGCAUGUGACGAAGCGUGAGUGACGGUAAUGGGUAAAGAAGCACCGGCUAACUACGUG
rnacentral:rRNA from 1 species